UACGUAGGGUGCGAGCGUUAAUCGGAAUUACUGGGCGUAAAGGGUGCGUAGGCGGUCUUAUAAGUCAGUGCUGAAAUAUCCCGGCUUAACCGGGAGGGUGGCAUUGAUACUGUAGGACUUGAGUAAAGUUGAGGUUGGCGGAAUUGACGGUGUAGCGGUGAAAUGCUUAGAUAUCGUCAAGAACACCUAUUGCGAAGGCAGCUAACUAAGCUUUAACUGACGCUGAGGCACGAAAGUGUGGGGAUCAAACAGG
rnacentral:rRNA from 1 species